CCGACCUUAGCUCAGUUGGUAGAGCGGAGGACUGUAGUUUGGGCAAAGCCUAAUCAGCUAAUCCUUAGGUCGCUGGUUCGAAUCCGGCAGGUCGGA
rnacentral:tRNA from 2 species